CGGACCCCAGUAUUUGCGACCCGAUAUCGUAUGCUGAAUGCUCGGGUGCAGGCUGCACGUGUAAUAGAACUGCACACUUAAAUCUGCGAUAUGGGGGAUGCGUACCAAGAGUUCUCGGAAGCGAAUGCAACAUUAAUGAUCAGUGUGGUCAUAUCCCGAGUGCUAAAUGUGACCUCAGUCAAACCGAAACUUGCGUAUGCAGUAAUCAAUAUGACAACAAAAACGGGGCGUGUACAGUCAAAAGUUUGUCGAGCCCGUGUAACGCGGAUGCGGAUUGCGCACAUAUAAAUAACGCCUCUUGUCUCGUGUCUUCGUCUGGGGAGAGGGUCUGUAGCUGCAAGAUUGGUUACAAGACGAUUUCCACUACA